GAGGAAAGUCCGGGCUCUAUUUAAAGAUAUAUAGCUGUAUAAAUUGCAGUAUAGGCGACUAUGAGGAUAGUGCUACAGAAAUAAACCGCCUAUUUGUGUUUUUAAAUCAUUAAUUAAGGUAAGGGUGCAAUGGUGCGGUAAGAGCGUACCAGAAAUAUUAUCAAGAUGUUUGCUAGGUAAACCCCGUAUUAGAGCAAAGUACUCGAUUAGCUAUAGUUUUCUUUAUUAUUAUGGCGUACUAAUUAUAUGAAUUAAUACUGCAUUGAAGUAAAUUGAUAAAUUUUUAUAUACUCUAGAUUAAUGAUUGCCCUUUUUGCGUAGUUUGUUUAUACGAUUAUGCAAUAAGAACAAAAUCCGGCUUAU
rnacentral:RNase_P_RNA from 1 species